UGCGUAGGCGGCCAAACAAGUCAGAUGUGAAAUACCCGGGCUUAACUCGGGGGGUGCAUUUGAAACUGUAUGGCUUGAGUGUAGGAGAGGAAAGCGGAAUUCCUAGUGUAGCGGUGAAAUGCAUAGAUAUUAGGAGGAACACCAGUGGCGAAGGCGGCUUUCUGGACUACAACUGACGCUGAUGCACGAAAGCGUGGGGAGCAAACA
rnacentral:rRNA from 1 species